rnacentral:rRNA from 1 species
GACAGAGGAGGCGAGCGUUAUCCGGAAUUAUUGGGCGUAAAGCGUUCGUAGGUGGUUUGACAAGUCUGGGGUUAAAGCCCGGAGCUCAACUGCGGAUCGGCCCUGGAAACUGUCAGACUUGAGUAAGGUAGGGGUUGCGGGAAUUCCCGGUGUAGCGGUGAAAUGCGUAGAUAUCGGGAAGAACACCAGCGGCGAAAGUGCGCAACUGGGCCAUUAAUGACACUGAGGGACGAAAGCUAGGGGAGCGAAUGGG